rnacentral:lncRNA from 1 species
CCUUCACUUCUGACCAGUCCAUUACCUCUUCCUUUACCUUCUCUUCCUUUACCUCUGGUUCACCCACCUUCGCUUCUUUUACCACUAAACUACUAUCCGUCUCCUGCUUCACCUCCAAUACGCCUGCGUUCUCAUCCUUCACCUCAGGCCUAUCCUCCACCUCCUGUUCUACCCACUGGCCAGCCAACCUGCCUUCUGUACCUGGCCAGUCUAUAAUUUCCUGCUUCACUACCGUUAGGUCCAUCGGUAUUUCCUCUGGCCUUUGUCCACUUCCUUCCUCUCCAUCCCCUAUCUCCUUUAUCCCUGUCAGCCCUGUCCCCUCCUCUCCGCCGCCGAACUCCUCCGCCCCUGCUAAGUCCCUUACUCCCUCCCUGCCAGGCUCUGGACUUAGCCGCACCCCCUCAGCUACGCUGUGGAGACCUCCCCCAGACUUCCCUUCAUUUUCAGCAGCAAACUCCAUCAACUCACGAUCCUUGGCCUCUGCUGCCACUCUAUCCUUCAAUGUGGCUGCUGCACACCAAUAGGAGGAAUUACCGGUCGGAAUACCUACGGCGGCCCACGUGUGGAGCCAAG